ACGAUUACAGAGCAAUGUAGUGUUUGGGAGUGCCCGUUUAACCUAAACAAUAUAUAAGUGAGUUCAAGUCCUUCUUGAAGGGGGCCAUUUUCCCAUAGAGGGUGCUAGGCCCGUAGUAACCAUUUAUAUGUUUAGGUGGGUAUCUCCUUAGAGUCGGGUUGCUUGAGAGUGCAGCUCUAAGUGGGUGGUAAACUCCAUCUAAGGCUAAAUAUGACUACGAAACCGAUAGCGAACAAGUACCGUGAGGGAAAGUUGAAAAGAACUUUGCAGAGAGAGUUCAAGAGUACGUGAAACUGUUCAGGGGUAAACCUGUAAUACCCAAAUAGUUCGAAAGAGGUGAUUCAUUUGUUUUUCCGUUUAUAAUCAUUUUUCAGUAUAUAGACAUAUAUAAAUCAUUUACAAUUUUUAAUUGUAUUUGUUAUAUUAUAUAUGCUAUUCUGAUUAAUGUAUAGUUUAUAUUCGGUGGCAUGCACUUCAUCUCUAGUAGAGCGUCGUAACUCAUUAGAUAUAAUAUAUUUAUAUAUGUGGUGUUU
rnacentral:rRNA from 1 species